rnacentral:rRNA from 1 species
AUUGAACGCUGGCGGCAGGCCUAACACAUGCAAGUCGAGCGGAGCGGCGGACGGGUGAGUAAUGCCUAGGAAUCUGCCUGGUAGUGGGGGAUAACGUCCGGAAACGGGCGCUAAUACCGCAUACUAUCAGAUGAGCCUAGGUCGGAUUAGCUAGUUGGUGGGGUUAAGGCCUACCAAGGCGACGUUCCGUAACUGGUCUGAGAGGAUGAGCAGUCAACCUGGAACUGAGACACGGCCCAGACUCAUAGGGGAGGCAGCAGUGGGGAAUAUUGGGGAAUGGGCGAAAGCCUGAUCCAGCCAUGCCGCGUGUGUGAAGAAGGUCGUCGGAUUGUAAAGCACUGUAAGCGGGGAGGCGGUACCAACAGAAUAAGCACCGGCUAACUUAGGUCCAGCCGCCGCGGUUAUUC